rnacentral:tRNA from 1 species
AAGGUUUUAAGUUAAAAAAACUAGUAGCCUUCAAAGCUUCAAUUAAGAGACGCCUCUUAAACCUUA